AUGGCAGCAUAUUUGGAGCAAAACAGGAGGAACAAGGGAGUAGAUGAUGAUGACAACAAUAAUGAUGUUGUGGAGGUGAAUGAAGAUGGAACAAAUGUCCCCAUUACCAAGCCAAGCUCAGGGACAGCAGCCAAGAGGAACAAGAGAGCAUUUGUUGCCAAGAUGCAAGGAAGAGGCAAGUCUACUGUUGCUUCCAACAACAAUUCAAAGCCAAUUGUUGCCAUGCUGCGAAGAACACCUGAGGAGCUUGUAGAUGAAAGACGCUCUGGGUGUUCUCAAAGCACCAUGGAGUCCAACACAAAGACUAAAGAAGAGAGAGAAUAUGUGAGUAUCCAGUGGGCAUUGUUCUUCUAUGAGUGUGGCAUUCCAUUCAAUGUUGCAAGUAGUAGACAGUUUGAGAUUGCAAUUGAAGCCUCUUGUCAAUAUGGUUCAGGUUACAAGCCUCCUAGUGCCUAUGAGCUGAGAGAGCCAUUGCUUAAUGCUUGUGUCAAGGAAACUACUACUUUGAGGAAGCAACAUGAGGCAACAUGGAAACAAUUUGGAUGCACACUCAUGUCGGAUGGCUGGUCAGAUAAAAGGGGACGCCAUUUGAUCAACUUCCUUGUUAACAGUCCGGAGGGCACUUUCUUCUUGGAGUCGAUUGAUGGCUCAAGUGAAUCACACAAUGCUCAAAUGAUUGCUGAUCUGCUGGAGAAGAGAAUUAUGGAAAUUGGGAAAGAAAAUGUUGUGCAAGUUGUCACCGACAAUGGUGCCAACUACAAGGCAGCAGGCCACCUUCUAGAGUUGAGGUUCCCUACACUAUAUUGGAGUCCUUGUGCAUGUCAUUGCUUGGAUCUAAUGCUAGAAGACAUAGGAAAGCUGAAGGCAUUCAAGAAGCCUAUUGCACGGGCUUGA
rnacentral:rRNA from 1 species